UAUCAUGUUAAAACACUGGUUCUCCUCUGAUCACUGGAAUUAAGCAACAUCAAGCCUGGUCAUUACCUAGAUGGGUGACUGCUUGGGAAUACCAGGUGCUGUAAG